rnacentral:lncRNA from 1 species
UAAUAACAACAUUAAAAGAAAAAGGAAAUUACGGAGAAGAAGAAUCGCUUCUUGAUCUCAACUCUCAAUUUCAAUGCAAUCUAUGAAUCUCACUUCUCAAUGGGGCGAAGAAGGAUCUGUCUCCAUUCUUCAUUCGCAUUUACUCAGUGGUAAUUAAUUCUUCACUCUCACUCGUCUUAUUUCCUGCAGAUUUCUUCAUUUUCCUUCACUGUUCAUUUUUAAGGUUCCAUUGUAUUUCCAUUGAGUUUGCAACCGUUCAAUUGCUCGAUCCUUAUUAGUUUUUGGACUUCAAUGACCAUAGAAGAAAAUUAUCACAAACUCUUCCUUAUUUUGUCUUUGUUUUUUUAUUUGUUUAUGCAUGUUUCCUUUGCUGAUUUAUUUACUUAUUUCUUUCUCUGAUGUCCCAAUUUAUCCUAUGAUAUUUCAAUUGAUGUAUUACGUUCAUGUUAUGUUUAUGGAUGCUUGCUCUACUGUCCUAAUUUACAAUUAAAUUUUACUCCGUCCUUAGCUAUCGAUUCACAGUGGUGUUUCAUUAAUAUGUACUUGUCUUAUUUUAUAUUUCAUUAACUAUUAUUUCAACAAUUGCCGCAGGUGUCAAAUAAUGAAUUUGUAUGAGCUUCAGUCCAAGGUAAUUAUCUUUUUCAUUUCAUGUUAUUUGAUCUCUAGGUUUAUUUUAUCGUUUCAUCUAAAUUAUUUGGAAUGCAUCAGCUGGUUUAUUCUUAAUUUUGGAACGAAUUUGAUGCAGCGGAUGGUUGCGUAGGAUGAGUGGAGUAUCUCUCUAGGUUGCGUAGGAUGAGUGGAGUAUCUCUCUAGGGUAACAACUUGAGCUAUAAGUAUCUAUUUAGGGUGUAUAAUAUACAUUUCGAAGUUCGCGACGAGGGGAAACUAAUCUAAUACUGUAGCGCCGCAUUAGUCUCGUGGUUCGAUUGAAAAUUAUAUUUAUUUCAUAUUAUUUUACAAGUUUAAG